UGAGCCAAGUGUUUAAGGGGAUUAAAUUAGAAAUGUGACAAGAAAAGUGUGAAAUAUUCUAAUAAAUGUAAGUGAACAGAAUUCAGUAAACAGAACAGUGCAGUUAAUGUCAAAGUUUAGACAAUAAACAGAAAAAAACUGUUCAGUGUUUCUUCAUCAUCUGAAUCUGAAUCUCUCUACAGGAUGGAAAUAGACAUCAUCACAAUGUUCAGUACAACACAACGUCCGACAGUGUGACGUACACAACAGUCACCACACAACCACAGAGUUAAUGACCAACACAAGAUGGUCUGCUCUGAUCUCAUCAUGGAUUUCAGAUCAUCUUCAUCCCUGAGCCACUGAGCUGGUGUUCAUCUCUGGAGCUUCAUCACCAUGUCAGGAUCUUCUGAUUUACUGCAGAACUCUCAGAUCACACAUCAUGGACCAUCAGUUACUCUUCUGUCUAACCUGGCUUGGUCUUGGUCAUGUGAUGUUACACUAAAUAAUGAACUGUGAACAGCAGUAAUUUUUACAUUUAUAUUUUUAUUUGUUUUAUUUUGAUGCAGUUUGUUGUGUUUACAUUGCAGCAGUGGACACAGUAUGUAAAUGGCUGAAGUCAUGUGAAGGAACUUUAUAGUUGAGGAGGAAUCUGGGUUCAGCUCCUCAGUAAUAUAAAUGAAUAUAAUGUACUGCUACCGAAGUUUUAUUGCAGAGGAGUUUCAUGUGUGUAUGUGUCUGUGUGUGUGUCUGUGUGUGUUGUUGUGAGACCCUGGCAGGUACAGGAUGGAGUUACAGGAAUCUUCCUAAGCUCUAACACUGGUUCUCUGCCAAUAAACGUAAAUAAAUUUAAAGAUACACCACAACCAAUUAUUAACUUAUUCGUUAGAUGACAGACAGAAAUAAAUAGUAUAAAAAGAAGGAAAAAUAGGGAUAGAAUAGAGAAACGUAAGGCAAAUAAACAAAGAAGAAUUGAUGUAAAAACACAAAAGGUUGAAGAGUUGGUUGAAGAGUUGAAAGACUUAAAUAUGAGUGACUAGAAGAAGACAACAAAGGAUCAGAUGUUGUAUCUAGACAGAUUGAAGAAGAUUCCAAAAGAAAAGAAGAUUAUAAUGCAUUAUGUAACCUUAGAUGAUUUUCUUGUAGUGAAACAUUAAAAGCCCACAGUGCAUUCGCUUAUGUGGUCACCGUGCCAACGACUUAAGUAAAGUUGGCCUCAUAUUCACAGAUUCGAUUUUCCUGAGUCAAUAGCUCCUGAGCUAAAGGGUGUUACUACACGAAUAACACCUCAUUUUUAUCGGAGUACUGUAGAGAGGCAGCUACAAUGCAGAUAAAACCUAAUUUUCGUCAAUAUCAGCUUUCCACCGUGUUGGACAAAAUACAUAAUUCUCUAUGUGCGAACACCGAAGAGACAGAUUCCAAGGGACCGUCUGCAAAGUGCAAA